AUUGAACGCUGGCGGCAGGCCUAACACAUGCAAGUCGAGCGGAUGAAGGGAGCUUGCUCCUGGAUUCAGCGGCGGACGGGUGAGUAAUGCCUAGGAAUCUGCCUGGUAGUGGGGGAUAACGUCCGGAAACGGGCGCUAAUACCGCAUACGUCCUGAGGGAGAAAGUGGGGGAUCUUCGGACCUCACGCUAUCAGAUGAGCCUAGGUCGGAUUAGCUAGUUGGUGGGGUAAAGGCCUACCAAGGCGACGAUCCGUAACUGGUCUGAGAGGAUGAUCAGUCACACUGGAACUGAGACACGGUCCAGACUCCUACGGGAGGCAGCAGUAGGGAAUAUUGGACAAUGGGCGAAAGCCUGAUCCAGCCAUGCCGCGUGUGUGAAGAAGGUCUUCGGAUUGUAAAACACUUUAAGUUGGGAGGAAGGGCAGUAAGUUAAUACCUUGCUGUUUUGACGGUACCAAAAGAAUAAGCACCGGCUAACUUCGUG
rnacentral:rRNA from 1 species